rnacentral:rRNA from 1 species
GAUGAACGCUGGCGGCGUGCUUAACACAUGCAAGUCGAACGAUGAAGCCCAGCUUGCUGGGUGGAUUAGUGGCGAACGGGUGAGUAACACGUGAGUAACCUGCCCUUAACUCUGGGAUAAGCCUGGGAAACUGGGUCUAAUACCGGAUAGGAGCGUCCACCGCAUGGUGGGUGUUGGAAAGAUUUAUCGGUUUUGGAUAGACUCGCGGCCUAUCAGCUUGUUGGUGAGGUAAUGGCUCACCAAGGCGACGACGGGUAGCCGGCCUGAGAGGGUGACCGGCCAGCAUGGGACUGAGACACGGGCGGGACGCCUGCGGGAGGCAGCAGGGGGGAGUAGUGGACGAUGGGCGAACGCCUGAUGCAGCGACGCAGCGGGAGGGAUGACGGCCUUAGGGUUGUAGACGUCGUUCAGUAGGGAAGAAGCGAAAGUGACGGUACCUGAAGAAGAAGCACCGGCUAACUACGUG